rnacentral:rRNA from 1 species
GGAUGUGAUCAUACCAGCACUAAUGCACCAGAUCCCAUCAAAACUCCGCAGUUAAGCGUGCUUGGGCGAGAGUAGUACUAGGAUGGGUGACCUCCAGGAAAGUCCUCGUGUUGCAUCCC